rnacentral:lncRNA from 12 species
GCCAGGUGUGAUGUGCGCCAGACGGGGCCCAGGAGGUCCCGUUCAGCCGCAGCGAUUACCAGAGGGUGUGAGCCCGGAGAGAGCCCGCGGGCGGGAGCGCGGCAGCGGGGCCGGCUCGCUCCGGGCUGCGCUCGGGCACCGGCACAGGAGCAGAGGGACACGGGGGGACGGCGGCAGGGCGACAAUGCCGGCAGCAGGGACAGCAAGGAGCGACGCGACUUAAUGGCCGUGAGAAAUGAGCAGCGAGCGCUCAUCACGCACAGGGGAAAGAAAAAGAGGAGGGACGGGGGCAGCUGGAAAAUGCCUGUGCUGCCCUUGCUCCACCCGCUGAAUCCAGCAGACAAGUCCUGCCCGGCCCCCACCCUGCUCUGUGUCCAUGGCUCCCUGCCCCAGGCAGUGUCACAGCUCCCACCCACUCCUGUCCUUCCUCCGCUUCUCCUUCUAGGAGUGUGAGUACUGCACCAAGGACUCCUUUAAUCCAUCCUCAGCCAUACAAACCUGUAUUUCAUCUCCAGUCCCUGGAUAAUCAAGAUAUUUCAACAGCUGUCAGUUUCUGGCAGAGGCCUGUUCUACC